rnacentral:lncRNA from 1 species
ACAAACCCUAAACAGGAUAACGAGAACACUCGUGUAUAAAUCAAAGUGAGAUUGGCUCUUAAUUGGUGACGCUGCACUCGCAUUACUACUAAGCAGUGCCUGUUCUAGGUUAGGGUUUUUGUUGUCUCAGAUGAUUGUCUUGUUGUAUCUUUUGCUUGUUUGUUAAUGUUCAUUUAUAAAAAUUGUUUUAUUUUUACACCAACAUGAAUAAGAGAAAUUGAUUUGGGGAUUUUAUCUGUGAUGAUGAAUUAAUGAUGACGAGUCCGAUCAAUUAUCCAAUCCAUUCACCCUUGACGACAAAUCGAGGCAUUUGUCUGAGAUAAGCCCCCAUUAUAUCACAUCUAUUUCGUUCAUAAAUUUCUGAGUGCAUAAGCUUAUCUUCGUAUUUUGCUUAUUUAUCUAAUCGUUUGGAAUUGUUAUUUAUAUUCACUACCAUGUUCCUUUGGAUGCAUAAAUUGUAUGCAACAUAAACUGGGUUUCCAUCUACAGACUGUAGAAUCAUAUAUUUUAUAUAUAAUAUGCAUUGGUGCUUGUAUGUGCAAAUCCUAAUUUUAUAAUCUUCCUUUAGUUGUUGAGUUAUUUUUCAAAUGAAAAUUGUUGUUUUUGUGCUUAUGAACAUAUACUAAUAAGCUUUGUCUUAGCUUGUUUACUGUGAAUUAUGCCAGAAAGCAUUGUUUGGUUAUGGCAAGUAUGAAGUGCGUAAUGUGUAUGCAUGUAUAUUCAUGUAUCUAUGAAUGCUGUACAUUUCAUAAAUACUUGAGUUUGUUGCUUGCGUGCCUUUAUAUUAGUUCUCAAAGUUCUGUGAUUCGAUUUGACAAGUCCUUUCUGGACAUUGAUAGAGAAAAUGUGGCUAUGAUGAAGAAAAAACGACCUUUUAUUUCCUGAGGCACUCAAUUCCUUUGAUUAAUUUCAAGCACUUUUGAGCCACAUUACUAUGAGAAUAAAUUCUUUCAUGUACUUUUAUUAUGAUGAUUUCAAAGUGUUUUAUCAAUUAUUUUCUGAAGUAGAAAAUUUGGUGAGGAUUUACUUAACAUUUUUGCAUGUGUGAUCUCUAAGGUUUAACUGAAUCAUCACCAUCAUCUUCGGUUGAUUCAUAUAGUGUGUCUAUAUGUGGAACAUGUCAUGCACAGUAGGUGUUAAGUACUUUUACUUGCACUGCCAGUCCCCCCUUUACUAAUAAUAACAAGGGAAAGAAAGCCUCAACCAGAACGACAUUCCUUUUGCGUGCGGAUGUAGCUAAGUGUGUGAGAGCAUCUUUGUUGAUUUAUUAAUGUUUCUAUAUGUGGAUUUUUGAAUGGGUCUCGCAUGAUAGGUGUUAAGACACUUUCACUUGCACUGCCUGUUAGUGUAAGGUUUUGUUAUUUGAUAUUUUCAAACCAUGCAUUUCGAUAUUUCUGUCUGGCAUUUACAACCUUAUUUUAAACCUUUUUGGCGAGAGAUUCUUGUAAAUUUCUUCUUAAUAUUAUCUCAAGCAGCUGAGUUUAGAUUUUAUUGGGAUUUGGCUUUGGGCAAAGCUUGGGAGUUCGGAUGUUAAUACAAAAUUCUUCUUUUGUUUACUAAAAUUUCAUCAUUGAUAUAAUAAAUAAUAUUGGAAAUAAUUUUGGGGCUUGAGCUGCAGCAACAGCAAACUCUGAUUUUUUGCCACGACGAAUCCUUUGGGUACAUUAUUGAAUUCUUUUAGUCUUGAAGGAGAGGCUGCUGAGGCUAGGCCUUCUCCGGUUUUGGGAUCCGAGGUUCUAUUCAUAAGUGGUCGUGUUUGUAACUGAUCCCUGAUUCCAUGUAAAUUUCACGACAACUUUUUAUGUUAAUUAUUUUCAUUUUUCCAAUUUUCUUUUGCAUUGAAGAUUGAUUACUCAGUGAGAAAUUAUACACUAUGUAGCGGCAUUUAAACUCGUUUUAAAAAUCUUGAAAGUUAAUUUUAUUAAUCAGAUAUAAUCAUGAUUCGUUUGCACCUUGCGGAUGUUACUUAUUGCUCUGGAUUUGUGGAAGAAUCCGUGGAUAAACAAGGCUGAAGCUUUACACACAUAAUAUCUUUACGAUGACUCACUCUCGGUCAUGCACCAAGGAUGCUUCUUACACUUAAUAAUCGAAUUGCAUAAAUUUAUGUACAUAUAUAUGCGAUGUGUUAUUAAAGUAACAGUGUAGUUGGCUUAUUUACAGUAAUGGUAUAGUUUGAUAGUAUUAAAUUUGAUUAUUAAACCGUAAAAAAAAAAAAAGACGAAAAGAAAAUGUAGUUGUAACGUGGU